rnacentral:lncRNA from 1 species
ACAUAUUUACCAUAUUUUUUGCUGGACGUUCCCUUAACUUCCAGUUAUGAGCCAAAAAUUUCGAUUGUAUGGUUCUGCAGCAGAAAGUACAAAGAUAAUUAUGUAAAGCCAUGGAACUUUUACCUCUGUGAUGCUUUCCAGCUAAUGUAUGAUCCACCAGAACUCGACCUCUCGCCAGGUGAGUAAGUAGAAUUUGAAGGGGUACUAUAGGCAUAGCUCUAAAUUAGAAUGAAGACAUAUAAAUGUUUCCUUAGCUUCUCAGUUGCAUUUAGUUGGUUGGAUUGCACAUUUUUAUUUUUCUUUAUUUACUCUUACCCUUAGAGAAGAUGCUUUGUAACGUAAGGAUGAUAUUAAUUUAAUUCAAUGACAUAUUUUUUAGAUCUAGAAAUGAAUCAACAUUUCAUUUCGAUGGCGUAUCUAUAACAAAAGUCUGGUAUCUAUUAGAUUAAUUAGACGAUAUUAAUCAAGAAAAUAUUCUUAUUUCAUUUUAAAUUGAAAUUUGGGGUCUAAAUAUUUUUUGUGGAUGUAGAAACAUACCAGACUUUUGUAUACC